AUUGAACGCUGGCGGCAGGCUUAACACAUGCAAGUCGAGCGGAGAGAGGUAGCUUGCUACUGAUCUUAGCGGCGGACGGGUGAGUAAUGCUUAGGAAUCUGCCUAUUAGUGGGGGACAACAUUUCGAAAGGAAUGCUAAUACCGCAUACGUCCUACGGGAGAAAGCAGGGGAUCUUCGGACCUUGCGCUAAUAGCUGAGCCUAAGUCGGAUGAGCUAGUUGGUGGGGUAAAGGCCUACCAAGGCGACGAUCUGUAGCGGGUCUGAGAGGAUGAUCCGCCACACUGGGACUGAGACACGGCCCAGACUCCUACGGGAGGCAGCAGUGGGGAAUAUUGGACAAUGGGCGCAAGCCUGAUCCAGCCACGCCGCGUGUGUGAAGAAGGCCUUAUGGUUGUAAAGCACUUUAAGCGAGGAGGAGGCUACUUUAGUUAAUACCUAGAGAUAGUGGACGUUACUCGCAGAAUAAGCACCGGCUAACUCUGUGCCAGCAGCCGCCGUAA
rnacentral:rRNA from 1 species